UACGGAGGGGGCUAGCGUUGUUCGGAAUUACUGGGCGUAAAGCGUACGUAGGCGGCUUUGUAAGUUAGAGGUGAAAGCCCGGGGCUCAACUCCGGAAUUGCCUUUAAGACUGCAUCGCUUGAAUCAUGGAGAGGUGAGUGGAAUUCCGAGUGUAGAGGUGAAAUUCGUAGAUAUUCGGAAGAACACCGGUGGCGAAGGCGGCUCACUGGCUCAUUACUGACGCUCAGGCGCGAUAGCGUGGGGAUCAAACAGG
rnacentral:rRNA from 1 species